AAUUUACGACAAGUGUCAAUGUGCAACUGCAGUUUAAUCAAACCAACAACUACAGUCGAGAGAGUGUUUGGUAAAAAACAUGCCCACACUACUGUGAAUCUUUUAUGACUGCAAACAGCAAUUAUGAGCCACCAACUCCCCGAUGCAUUUAGAGACAUGAUAUUGAAUUAAAAGAAAUCGAAAGAAAACCCCAUCUCCAAGUACUUCUGGAAAACAUUGCAAGAACUACUGCCCCACUUGAAGCAUUCCCGGAAGCUGCUGGGCUAUUUACAAGAAGCUCCUUUGCAAUCAGAAUUAGCAUGCAGCUUGUAUGUAACAGCACAUGCACAUUGUCACUGCAUUUUCUUGCACAUGUGCUCCAUAAUUUCGCAAACAUCCCCGAUGGCUCAUG
rnacentral:lncRNA from 1 species